GACCAAAAUGGCUCAGGCAGUAGAGCAGCAAACUCUUGAUCUCAGUGUUGUGGGUUCGAGCCCCACAUUGGGCA